rnacentral:rRNA from 1 species
UGGGGAAUUUUGCACAAUGGAGGAAACUCUGAUGCAGCGACGCCGCGUGAGUGAUGAAGAUCUUCGGAUUGUAAAACUCUGUCCUUAGUGAAGAUAAUGACAGUAACUAAGAAGCAAGCCUGGCUAAAUACGUGCCAGCAGCCGCGGUAAUACGUAUGGGGCAAGCGUUGUCCGGAAUUAUUGGGCGUAAAGGGUACGUAGGCGGUUUAAUAAGUCCUAAUUAAAAGGCUAUGGCUCAACCAUAGUAUGGUUAGGAAACUGUUGAACUUGAGUAGAUGAGGGGAAAGUGGAAUUCCAUGUGUAGCGGUGAAAUGCGUAGAUAUAUGGAGGAACACCAAUGGCGAAGGCAACUUUCUGGAAUCAAACUGACGCUGAGGUACGAAGGCGUGGGGAGCAAACAGG